CCCUGUACGCAGCACGCAGUACCACCUGUGCCCUCCAACAACUAAGGGCUUUCUCCCCAGAUCAGGCUCCUCAUGGGCACUCCUUCAGGAGAUUUCGCUCCCGAGGGCUUCCAAAUCUUCACCCCAACGGGUACUGAAGGGCAGCCCCAAAGCUGAACUGAUAAACCGCAGGAAGCUUAGACUGGGGAGAGUGAUUCGCCCAGGGUAAGAGGUGACCUUCAGAUUCAAACCCAGAUGGUCUGACCGUAGGACCAACCCACACUCUUAGUCCUCCACUGCAUUCGACUCUGAUUGUAUGACUCACUCUGGAGAGACCAAAGGACAUUAUUUCCUGCUAAAAUACAAUCUUCUGCUGGGAAACUUCAUCUUCCCCUAGAAGGCAAAGGCAUGAAGUAAUUGGCCACAGUAGGGACAUUGCUCUGGACUGAAUGUUGUGUCCCUCCCAAGUCCAUGUGUUGAAGACCUAAUUCUCAAGGGUAGAGCCCCUCGGAGGAGAUUGCUGGAAGUUGAAGGCGUUGUCAGAUCACUUCCCGAAGAGCUUGCCGCAGCUCAUCCUCCCCGCAGUGUCUGACGCGUCCGCCACUCUCACCAGCACCGGAUAGUAACCAUCCUUUUUUUCUGUCUUUCCUAUUUGCUAGUGAGAUGCAUAAAAACGUGGUGUUCAACGUUGCCUUGACCUUUACUUUUC
rnacentral:lncRNA from 1 species